UCUCCCUUUCCCCCCUUACUCUUGAAUCUCUAUUCUUCUCUGUUUCAGCAAAACGAUAUCAGUCAAAAUAAUUGAUGAUGAGGAGUAUGAGAAAAACAAGACCUUCUACCUUGAGAUUGGGGAGCCCCGUCUGGUGGAGAUGAGUGAGAAGAAAGCUCUGUUGUUGAAUGAGCUUGGUGGCUUCACAAUAACAGGCAAACCUGUCUUCAGGAAGGUCCAUGCAAGAGAACAUCCAAUUCCUUCUACUGUAAUCAGCAUUCAAGGGAAUGCAGCGUUUCUCUGUGCCAGUGGAAUUCUGUGCUUGAGUGGAGUUGGCCUAAGUGACUUCAGCAUCUUCAUUUGACUUCUUG
rnacentral:lncRNA from 1 species